rnacentral:rRNA from 1 species
UGCGUAGGCGGUUGCCUAAGUCAGAUGUGAAAUCCCCGGGCUUAACUCGGGUGGUGCAUUUGAAACUGGGCGGCUAGAGUGCAGGAGAGGGAAGCGGAAUUCCUAGUGUAGCGGUGAAAUGCGUAGAUAUUAGGAGGAACACCAGUGGCGAAGGCGGCUUUCUGGACUGUAACUGACGCUGAGGCACGAAAGCGUGGGGAGCAAACA